CAAGCAAAUGUAUUUUGCUAAAGUACAAAUGUCUUGUUUCUUCACACCCACUUUCAGCCCAAAUAUUAUCCAAUCAAACACUAUCAUUUGUAUAACCCGGUCCCAAACCCCUCAAAUAAAUAUCUCUAUUCUUUUUCUUUUCCUUAUCAUUUCUUUUUUUCCCAAAUGAACUGGAAACCCUAGCAGCCCCUGUCUUUGCAAAUGCAAACCCCCCAAAACUUAACCGGAUUUUGAGCUCAAUCCAUAAUGUUUUCUACCUAAAAAACGUCACCAUGUCCCUAAAAUUAUUCUAGGGGAAUAUACCCCCACCCAUGUCACCUUUUGUUCAAGAUAUUUUUUCUCCUAUUUUUCUUAAUUUAUCUCUUCAAAGAUCAACAUUUCAAAUUUUGGAUCCCCAAUUUUGUUGACAUUAUCUCCCCUUCUUUUCUUUUAAAAUAUUCUUUAGGCGUCAAUUUGUUGGUUAUAAAUGAAGCCUAAAUUGUUUGUACUUAAGGAGACAUGUAGCGAAAAAUAUUCCCCUGUGUUAAAGCUCUUCAAUUGUAAAAUAUCUAUGUUGUACAAGUUUUUCUCAAAGCAAACAAUCAUUUUUCAAUCAUUGCCAUCAGAUGCAGAAGAUAAUUAAAAGUUAUCAUCUGGAAGUUUUGGAGGCUGCAUUAAGGUAGAAGACCAUGAUUUCAUGGAGACUAGUUCUUUGAACACCCUUAUAUCAAUAAUGAUUCUUAGAAGCUUUGCUUACGUUCUUCAGAACCUUUUUCCCUAUAGAGCUAUUCUUGGUUCCAACAGCUGUUCUGGUGACUCCGGUAUGUAGAUUUUAUUACUUUUUUAUUUAAUUCAAAGGAUAAUAACAUCUAAGAAUUCUCCGUCAUUAAUCGAUGUGAACAUUUAAGUCCAAAAUUGAUGUGCAAUAGGAGAGAUACUUCCUUGUAUAUGGUUCACAUUUAUUCAAGUGAUAGUAUUUUUUAACUUCGUAAGAAAAUAUUGAAACUAUUGAGAAAACUCAAAAUUACUUUGAAUUAUGAAAAAAUGUUCAUAAAAAAAAGUAAUAUUUCAGUUCAUUAAUUUUACUUUAACUACUUACAUUCUUAUGAUUGAUGAAAACAUAAAUGUUCUUCCUAUUUAAGGAGUAUCAUUUGUGAACUAAA